UUUUACGGAGAGUUUGAUCCUGGCUCAGGACGAACGCUGGCGGCGUGCUUAACACAUGCAAGUCGAACGAUGAAGCCCAGCUUGCUGGGUGGAUUAGUGGCGAACGGGUGAGUAACACGUGAGUAACCUGCCCUUGACUCUGGGAUAAGCGCUGGAAACGGCGUCUAAUACCGGAUACGACCUGCCCCGGCAUCGGGUGCGGGUGGAAAGUUUUUCGGUCAAGGAUGGACUCGCGGCCUAUCAGCUAGUUGGUGAGGUAAUGGCUCACCAAGGCGACGACGGGUAGCCGGCCUGAGAGG
rnacentral:rRNA from 1 species